GACGAACGCUGGCGGCGUGCCUAAUACAUGCAAGUAGAACGCUGAAGGAAGGAGCUUGCUCUUUCCGGAUGAGUUGCGAACGGGUGAGUAACGCGUAGGUAACCUGCCUGGUAGCGGGGGAUAACUAUUGGAAACGAUAGCUAAUACCGCAUAACAGUAGAUGUUGCAUGAUAUCUACUUAAAAGGUGCAAUUGCACCACUACCAGAUGGACCUGCGUUGUAUUAGCUAGUUGGUGAGGUAACGGCUCACCAAGGCGACGAUACAUAGCCGACCUGAGAGGGUGAUCGGCCACACUGGGACUGAGACACGGCCCAGACUCCUACGGGAGGCAGCAGUAGGGAAUCUUCGGCAAUGGACGGAAGUCUGACCGAGCAACGCCGCGUGAGUGAAGAAGGUUUUCGGAUCGUAAAGCUCUGUUGUAAGAGAAGAACGAGUGUGAGAGUGGAAAGUUCACACUGUGACGGGAUCUUACCAGAAAGGGACGGCUAACUACGG
rnacentral:rRNA from 1 species